AUGAGCCAAGAAUUCCUCCUAGCGACCGAACAACCAUCACAGAGCCACGAACAACAAGAAUUGCACGACAUCGUCCGGCAAGAGCACCAUGGGUACACCAUGCAACAAGGCGGUGGCCCGACGUUGUCCGGCUACGGCCACAAGCGCAAGAUCACUCUGAUCCCGCUCGUCUUCCUCAUCUACUUCGAGGUGGCAGGCGGCCCUUACGGCGCCGAGAAGGCCGUCCUCGCAGCUGGGCCGCUCUUCACCCUGCUCGGCUUCCUCAUCUUCCCCUUCGCGUGGGGCGUCCCGGAGUCGCUCAUCACGGCCGAGCUCGCCACCGCCUUCCCGGGCAACGGCGGCUUCGUCCUCUGGGCCGACCACGCCUUCGGCCCGCUCGCCGGCUUCCUCCUCGGCAUGUGGAAGUACCUCAGCAUCGUCAUCAACAUCGCCGCCUACACGGCCCUCAUCGCUGACUACCUUGGCGGAAGUGGAGUGGCCCCCGCGGUCGCGCAGCCCGGCGGGGCGCGCACGGCCGCGGUGAUCGGCAUGACGCUGCUCCUCUCGUUGGUGAACUACGCCGGCGUGAGCGUUGUCGGGUGGGGCGCCGUGGCGCUGGGGAUGGUGUCGCUGGCCCCAUUCGUGCUGAUGACGGCCAUGGCGGUGCCCAAGGUGAGGCCAAGUCGGUGGGCGUCGCAGGUGAAGGGGGAGAAGGACUGGAGGCUCUUCUUCAACACGCUCUUCUGGAACCUCAACUACUGGGACUGCGCCAGCACGAUGGCCGGGGAGGUGGAGCGGCCCGAGCGAACGUUCCCGCGGGCGCUGGCAGUCGCCGUCGUUCUGAUCGCCGGCAGUUACCUGCUGCCGCUUAUGGCCGCGACCGGCGCCACCGACGCGUCGCCGGAUGCGUGGGUCAACGGCUACUUGGCUGACGCGGCAGGCAUCAUCGGGGGACCAUGGCUCAAGUACUGGACAGGGGCCGGCGCAGUGAUCUCGUCCAUCGGCAUGUUUGAGGCCCAGAUGAGCAGCGGCACAUUCCAGCUCCUCGGCAUGGCAGACAUGGGCCUUCUCCCAGCUGUCUUCUCUCGCCGUGCCGCCCGUACUGGUACCCCGUGGGUGGCUAUCGUUGUGUCGACUGUUGUCACAAUUGCUGUCUCCUUCCUCUACUUCGAUGAUGUUGUUGCCACUGCUAACUUCUUGUACAGCCUGGGCACGCUGCUCGAGUUCGCCUCCUUCCUCUGGCUCCGCAUGAAGUACCCAGCGCUGAAGCGCCCUUACCGCGUGCCGCUGUCGCUGCCUGCGCUUGUGGCCAUGUGUGCCGUGCCAUCUUCAUUCCUGGCCUACGUGUGUGUGGUGGCCGGGUGGAGGGUAUUCACCCUCGCCGCGGGGCUUACUACUCUCGGUGUAGGGUGGCAUUGCGUCAUGAGAGUAUGCAAGGCCAAGAAGUUGCUCAAAUUCAACAACGCAGCUGCUGCUAACCCCCAACUGUAUGCCCGAGACAACUAUCAUCUGGUUCUGGGGUGA
rnacentral:rRNA from 1 species